rnacentral:rRNA from 1 species
AGAGCGAACGCUGGCGGCAGGCUUAACACAUGCAAGUCGAGCGCGUGUAGCAAUACACGAGCGGCAGACGGGAGAGUAACACGUGGGAACGCGCCCUUCGGUUCGGAAUAACUCAGGGAAACUUGAGCUAAUACCGGAUACGCCCUUACGGGGAAAGAUUUAUUGCCGAAGGAACGGCCCGCGUCCGAUUAGCUAGUUGGUGAGGUAACGGCUCACCAAGGCGACGAUCGGUAGCUGGUCUGAGAGGAUGACCAGCCUCACUGGGACUGAGACACGGCCCAGACUCCUACGGGAGGCAGCAGUGGGGAAUAUUGGACAAUGGGCGCAAGCCUGAUCCAGCCAUGCCGCGUGGAUGAUGAAGGCCUUAGGGUUGUAAAGUCCUUUAACGGGGAAGAUAAUGACGGUACCGUAGAAUAAGCCCGGCUAACUUCGUGCCAGCAGCCGC